rnacentral:rRNA from 1 species
AGCGAACGCUGGCGGCGUGCCUAACACAUGCAAGUCGAACGUGAAAGGGAGCAAUCCCCUGUUAAGUGGCGUACGGGUGAGUAACACGUAGGUAAUCUACCCCAUACUCUGGAAUAACCGGCCGAAAGGCUGGCUAAUACUUGAUAGAGCGACGGAUUCCGUAAUUGGGUUUUUCGGGAAAGGGAGCCUGUAAAAAGUCCUUCGUUCUGGGAUGAGCCUGCGUCCCAUCAGCUAGUUGGUGAGGUAAAAGCUUACCAAGGCAAUGACGGGUAGCUGGUCUGAGAGGACGAACAGCCACACUGGAACUGAAACACGGUCCAGACUCCUACGGGAGGCAGCAGGGAGGAAACUUGCGCAAUGGACGAAAGGCUGAAGCAGCAAAGCCGCGGGAGGGAAGAAGGCCUUCGGGUUGUAAAGAUCGGUCGAGUGGGAAGAAAAUGCUGGGAGUUCAAAGCUGCAGGAACUGACGGUACCAAUAAAGGAAGCACCGGCUAACUACGUG